UACGUAGGACCCAAGCGUUAUCCGGAAUUACUGGGCGUAAAGAGUUGCGUAGGUGGCAGAGUAAGUAAGAUGUGAAAGCGUGCGGCUCAACUGCAUAGACAUAUCUUAAACUGCUCAGCUAGAGAACGAGAGAGGUAGAUGGAAUUCCCAGUGUAGGAGUGAAAUCCGUAGAUAUUGGGAGGAACACCGAUGGCGUAGGCAGUCUACUGGCUCGUUUCUGACACUAAGGCACGAAAGCGUGGGGAGCAAACAGG
rnacentral:rRNA from 1 species